CGAAGAACCUUACCUGGGUUUGACAUAUACCGGAAAGCUGCAGAGAUGUGGCCCCCCUUCGUGGUCGGGUAUACAGGUGGUGCAUGGCUGUCGUCAGCUCGUGUCGUGAGAUGUUGGGUUAAGUCCCGCAACGAACGCAACCCUAUCUUAUGUUGCCAGCACGUUAUGGUGGGGACUCGUAAGAGACUGCCGGGGUCAACUCGGAGGAAGGUGGGGACGACGUCAAGUCAUCAUGCCCCUUAUGUCCAGGGCUUCACACAUGCUACAAUGGCCAGUACAGAGGGCUGCGAGACCGUGAGGUGGAGCGAAUCCCUUAAAGCUGGUCUCAGUUCGGAUCGGGGUCUGCAACUCGACCCCGUGAAGUCGGAGUCGCUAGUAAUCGCAGAUCAGCAACGCUGCGGUGAAUACGUUCCCGGGCCUU
rnacentral:rRNA from 1 species